CCCAGCGGUCUCCCUUCUUCAAACUUGUUUUUCAGAGUCUGAGCACAGGAGUGAAGGAAUGUGGUUUCGAGGUGAAACAACAGUGUAACACUGCCCCCUAGAGAGGGUGUUGGGAAAUGACAUCAAAUAAACCAGUGCGUCCCCUGCUGAGCAAGGGUGUCCAGCACAUCCAGAGCCAGAGUGGCCCUCUGCUGCUGCAGUACCAGUCGGGCGUGUUCCAUGGGGCAGGAGAACUGGGGCAGGACUGGGAGGGAAUCCAGGGCUUGAUUGGAGCUCAACAGUUUGGCUCGGGCCUUGAAGGCCAAUGUGUCAAUUUGUUGAGCCUGCUCCUGGUCGGUACGUCCUGAGUCUUUAGUCUGCUGGGAGCUAAGAAUGAGGGAAAUGAGGUGUCUGUGAAGCAGCGUCACCCACUCCACUGGCUCGGCCCACAGGUUAAGGUUGCCCUUUUCAAACAGGAAAUCCUCUUCAUCCUAUUCAAUCAAAACAAAUUGGUCCAUGAGCACGAUGACACAAGCAACCUCCACGGGUUUUUAACACGUCCAGCACAUAUUGACAAACAGUCGCACAUAUUUGUGUCUUUAGUCACAUGCACAAAGGUGCAGAACAAGCCAAAAGGCAGAACGGGGACAAAUGAGGCAGCAAAUCUGCAGACACUAAAAUCAAAAGAGUGAAGGGAGGGGCUGAGCUGCUCUGAACAAGCUCUUCAAUCCAAUCAACUACUGUAUUACUUGAUGGAGACAUUCCACCUAAAUUGAUAAAGAAAUGAUUAUUAUUAUAAUUUUUUACCAGACUGGAGGCAUCAUCUUGACAUGCCUCCUCGUUGCCUUCUUCUGCUCCCAGCAGCCACUCUGUCAGAGCGAGGACGCCUGCUGGUACCUGCUUCCACAGUUUGAAGAGGCGACACAAGAGACUCACACCAACGUCCAAGGCCACGGGGGGACACACCGUCACGCCUGCAACAUCUGUUGAACCAAAAGUCGGGGACAUUGAAAUAUGUCACAAUUGGUUGACAGGAGUCAUUUAACAAGAUUCUGGCAUGAUCUGUAAUUGCCUUGGUAAGAAUUGAAAACCGGUGCAUGUGUUUGGGUCACGUUUUUCCACCCCCAGCUCAUUCUCAAGGCUCAAGUUUUGAUUUCAAGCGUGACCUUUACCUGCGCGUUGAUACAUGCUUGUUGUAAUAAAGGUUUCACCUUUAGGCAGGGCCAGAAGACCUUGCAUUCAAAUAGUACACAUAACUUCAUUAUGAGCUAAACAGGUUCAGGGAAAAGAAAAUUAAGCUCUUCAACCAAAAGCUGGAAGAUCAUUUGGAAUGUAUAUUACUUUAUUACUACUUCUAGAGGUACUACCACCUUUGUCCAGGCCUUUUUUAGUUGUCUUAAAAAAAUGAACCAUAAUUCAAAAGAAAUGUUUGAUUUAUAUUGGUGAAAGGGAUUAUGUGGCCAGGACGGCUCAUUUUCCAGUCAACAAUUCUCUGAUGUAUUUUUUUGAUCAGGAAAAUAAAAUUAGCUUGCAUUACCAUUUUUUCCCAAUUUGUUUUGGAGAAAUCAGAAAAUAAUGACUCUUGAACCAAUAUGGACAAAUCAACCAACACCCCCUGUAGCUUGGUAUGACGUCAGUGGAACAACUGGACACAAUUUGUCUCAAUCACUCAAUGUGCACUGCAUAUAAUGUCCAAAACUUGCGCUCAAUCAGCAACAUUAUGUCAACAUAUCUACUGAUGCCCACUUUAACCGAUGAAAAUGGCACAAUCAAAAGCCUCUCCAUAUGCACUCACUCUUAAGAACCUGACAGGAAUAAGAUUUAAUCAAGAUCAUUCCAUUGUAAGUCUUGACUGUGUUUUCCUAUUGUUUAGAAAUGUGAACCAAUCAACAGCUGGAUGCAACGGCAGCUUCAAAUAUUGAUCAAAAACAAAACAUAUUUAAUACACUUUUGAAGUUCUGCAAAUGUAUCAACAAAAUGCAAGUACAUAUACAAAGAUUUCCAUAGUUAGGUAAUUCAUGAGUUCAGAGUUGGAAGAUAAUCAAGGGGACGGUGUUGGCAUGCAUCAAACGUUGCUGAAUCACUUCACUAAUUGUGAGAAUUUGUGUCAUGUAGAUGGUAAAAUAGCUGGACUUAAACUUUACCUUUAUAUAGUCACGCUGUACCACUGUAUUCCGGAAAUGUUUGAGGAUUGGACCACUGAAGAUGACCACGGUACCGUUUCAGCCACACUGCGUGAGUGGAAGUUAUUGUUUUUGUUUUCCCACCUUGACCAUCUUCCAUGCAGUUGACACCUGGAUAACAGCACAGACAUCAAAAGCUUUGCAAAGUCACAACUCAAACACUAGCACUAUGGGAACUAGAGGAGGGCGUGUGGGGGUGCAUAAAAGUUUACAACCCCCUACCCCAUCCCUCCCCCCAUCAGCACACAUACAGUACAAGAAA